CAUGAAUUAGGUAAUACCAGCCUUUGAGGAGGCUAUGACAGGCAUGCGGCCAAGUGGAGUUAGAAGGAUAAUAGUAUCACCGGAUAUUGGAUACCCAGAUAAUGAUUUGAACAAGUUAGGCCCAAAACCAACAACAUUUUCGGGACAAAGAGCCCUAGAUUUCGUUCUAAGGAAUCAAGGAUUAAUAGAUAAAACUCUCCUGUUUGACAUUGAGCUUAUCAGAUUAAUUCCAAGUCAAUAGUAUACGAGGGUAAUUUCGAUAACCAUUGGGAGGAAAGGAGCAUACUGUUUGAGCAUGCAAUCAAAUCCUUUGAUGGCCAUUGGAUAUGUAAAUGUACUGUAUAUACUAUAUACUUGAGUAUCAACAAAAAACAUUGAUAUCGCGGACCCAUUUUGUUGUUACUGAAAAAUAACACCUCCGUCCCAAAAUAAGUGUCUCAACCUUAGUGCAAAUUUAAAACACUUAUUUUGGGACUGAGGGAGUACUAAGAAGAAUUUUAAAGUGCAACCAGAUAGAUCCUAUCUAUUCUUGAACUAGACAACUUUUUCACACUCCCUAGAUUGGGUUAAUAGAUAAAUACUUACAUCACACAACUUACGCCACACGAAAAAUUAUGUAAUAUUCCAAAAAGGAUGCAGCAUUUCCUGCCUUUUUUUGUACACUACUUAGAUUAAUGUUAAAGCCUAUAUCUUAGGGUUAGAGAGGGAACCACAUAUCCAUAAUACACUCAAGAGAGAACAUGAGCAACUAACAACAUAUGCUUCAAUGGUUUUGCUCUUAAUUUUUCGCCAUGUCUAGGAGCUGAAAGCCUCAGCCUCUGUGGCAUGACCAUAAUCUGUAAUCAAAUUUGAC